rnacentral:rRNA from 1 species
GACGAACGCUGGCGGCGUGCUUAACACAUGCAAGUCGAACGGAAAGGCCCUGCUUUUGGGGGAUUCGCGUGGCGCAAGGGGGAGUAUAACGCGGGUGUAACCUGCCCCUCACUGGGGUAUAACUGCGGGAAACGGGGGCUUACAGCGGAUGAGAGCUCCUUCGUCAGGUGGGUGGAUGGAUAUUUUGGGCGGUGGGGGAUGGACUCGCGGCUUAUCAGCUUGUUGGUGGGGUAGUGGCUUACCAAGGCAUUGACGGGUAGCCGGCCUGAGAGGGUGAACGGCCACAUUGGGACUGAGAUACGGCCCAGACUCCUACGGGAGGCAGCAGUGGGGAAUAUUGCACAAUGGGCGGAAGCCUGAUGCAGCGACGCCGCGUGCGGGAUGACGGCCUUCGGGUUGUAAACCGCUUUCGCUUGUGACGAAGCGUGAGUGACGGUAAUGGGUAAAGAAGCACCGGCUAACUACGUG